CCUACGGGGUGCUGCAGUGGGGGAUAUUGCACAAUGGGGGAAACCCUGAUGCAGCGACGCCGCGUGUGGGAAGACGGUCCUCUGGAUUGUAAACCACUGUCCCCAGGGACGAAGAUGACGGUACCUGGGGAGGACGCUCCGGCUCACUACGUGCCAGCAGCCGCGGUAAUACGUAGGGAGCAAGCGUUGUCCGGAAUUACUGGGUGUAAAGGGAGCGUAGGCGGGAUGUCAAGUUGGGUGUUAAAUCUACCGGCUCAACUGGUAGUCGCACUCAAAACUGCUAUUCUUGAGUGAAGUAGAGGCAGGCGGAAUUCCUAGUGUAGCGGUGAAAUGCGUAGAUAUUAGGAGGAACACCAGUGGCGAAUGCGGCCUGCUGGGCUUUGACUGACGCUGAGGCUCGAAAGUGUGGGGAGCAAACAGGAUUAGAUACCCGAGUAGUC
rnacentral:rRNA from 1 species